rnacentral:tRNA from 2 species
AUUUAUAUAGUUUAAUUAAAACCUUACAUUUUCACUGUAAAAAUAAAGAACUUUCUUUUAUAAAUU